UACGGGGGGAGCAAGCGUUGUUCGGAUUUAUUGGGCGUAAAGGGCUCGUAGGCGGUUUGUCGCGUCGGGAGUGAAAACACACAGCUUAACUGUGUGCUUGCUUCCGAUACGGGCAGACUAGAGGUAUGCAGGGGAGAACGGAAUUCCUGGUGUAGCGGUGAAAUGCGCAGAUAUCAGGAGGAACACCGGUGGCGAAGGCGGUUCUCUGGGCAUUACCUGACGCUGAGGAGCGAAAGUGUGGGGAGCGAACAGG
rnacentral:rRNA from 1 species